CACGUAGGGGGCAAGCGUUGUCCGGAUUUACUGGGCGUAAAGGGCGCGUAGGCGGCGCAACAAGUCAGCUGUGAAAUCUCCGGGCUUAACCCGGAGCGGCCAGCUGAUACUGUCGUGCUAGAGUGCGGAAGGGGCUACUGGAAUUCUCGGUGUAGCGGUGAAAUGCGUAGAUAUCGAGAGGAACACCUGUGGCGAAGGCGGGUAGCUGGGCCGACACUGACGCUGAGGCGCGAAAGCUAGGGGAGCGAACGGG
rnacentral:rRNA from 1 species